rnacentral:lncRNA from 1 species
AAGGCAGUGGUCCCCAACACAACAAAAACAUAAAAUUGGCUACCGGAUAUUGAAAAAAGUGGCUUUUGCAACCAGCUAAAAAAAAACUUUUUCACAGCACACUACAAUUCAGUGAUAAUUAGGUGUAGGACCCUACACCUAAUAUUAUAUACAUUUUUAAUCAGAAGCCACAUACAUUUUUAAUCAGAAGCCACGUGAAAUAUCGAUUUUACCUGCCUCUCUUUCUCCUUUCCUGUCUUAGGCUAUCUCCAGCGAUAUCCUCCAAAUCCUAUCCCCUAUAUCCAUCCUCCAUAUCAACUUCAUUUUCUAUACCAAACUUAACUCCAACAACAUGCUCUAUUUCCAUCUUCUAUACCACACACCUCUACUUUUCUAUCCUUUCUUCCAACGUCUGUUUCCCCUGCCGCCCCGCAGCCCCGCAGCCCC